UACGUAGGUGACAAGCGUUGUCCGGAUUUACUGGGCGUAAAGAGCGCGCAGGCGGUCGAUCAAGUCGAGUGUGAAAGCCCCCGGCUCAACUGGGGAGGGUCAUUCGAAACUGGUCGACUCGAAGGCAGGAGAGGGUAGUGGAAUUCCCGGUGUAGUGGUGAAAUGCGUAGAGAUCCGGAGGAACACCAGAGGCGAAAGCGGCGUCCUGGGGUGAGGUUGACGCUCAGACACGAAAGCAUGGGGAGCGAACGGG
rnacentral:rRNA from 1 species